rnacentral:sRNA from 1 species
UCUGGCGACUGGUUGAGUAUCCUAACGGGCUUUUCAACUGGUCACCCAUAAAUAUAAGGAGACGUGUUAGUGGCCCGUAUCGCUGGCAUUAACGUUCCUGAC